AAAAAGACUCUCGGCAACGGAUAUCUCGGCUCUCGCAUCGAUGAAGAACGCAGCGAAAUGCGAUACUUGGUGUGAAUUGCAGAAUCCCGUGAAUCAUCGAGUUUUUGAACGCAAGUUGCGCCCGAAGCCGUUAGGCCAAGGGCACGUCUGCCUGGGCGUCACA
rnacentral:rRNA from 1 species